AGACUUCCUCACGGGAAUUCAAUGCGAUACGUGUCACAGAAUGAACCGACUUCACCACCUCCCUCAGUCUCCUAUUAAUUUUGGGAAUCUUAGAAAAGGAUUCACUCUGAACCUUACCAACAAGCUUAGACCCAUUAAGCAACACCUUCAUGUCUCCGGCAACACCAAUCCCCUCCUUGUCAACGAAGCCAUCUCCAGUGUCCAGGGAACUAAACGCGGCCACGUCAGCCUUCGCCGCCUCACACGACAAAGCAGCCACUGCAUCCACAACUGAAGCCAAAGCCGUGGAUUCAUGGUCCAAAAUGGAACAAACGCCGUAGAAAUGAGCAGAUGAUUUCUCUAUUACGAGGCGUUCCUCUUCAGUCACUUCAAUGGAGUUAAAACUCCCAUUCUCAAAUUUCGAAUUAAGGGUUUUGGAAAUGAGAUUAGGAAGAA
rnacentral:misc_RNA from 1 species